GAGACAGCAGCAGCCACGGGAAUACGAAGGGGGCUAGCGUUGUUCGGAAUUACUGGGCGUAAAGCGCACGUAGGCGGAUAUUUAAGUCAGGGGUGAAAUCCCGCAGCUCAACUGCGGAACUGCCUUUGAUACUGGGUAUCUUGAGUAUGGAAGAGGUUAGUGGAAUUGCGAGUGUAGAGGUGAAAUUCGUAGAUAUUCGCAGGAACACCAGUGGCGAAGGCGGCUAACUGGUCCAUAACUGACGCUGAGGUGCGAAAGCGUGGGGAGCAAACAGGAUUAGAUACCCGUGUAGUCCCUGUCUCUUAUAC
rnacentral:rRNA from 1 species